UUUUUAAAUUUUUUAUUUUACUCAUUAAUUCUAGCUAUUUACUACUUAAAUCUUUCUUUUGAGCGAAUUUUAUUGGAUUAGAUACAACUAACUAAAACGCGAGUUUUUUAUAGUGAGAGUUAUAUGGUUGUUCAUAGACUGUUUAAUGAAGUUUAUAAAAAAUAUAUGCAUACGGAUAUUCGUAUCCGAUCUAAAUCCGUACUCGAUCCAUACGCGGUCUAAAGCGGGUAGUAUAUGAGUACUCACUAUCUAGACCCGCUCAAAUAGGUCCGAUGGGUAUAUUAUUAACUUAAAUAUCCAGACCCGAAUCCGAUCCGAAGUUAAAUGGUUAUGAUAUAUAUAUGUGUGUGUAGAGCUAUUAUGCUAUCGGAACUAUAGGAGAUUUGAUGCUUUCGAUUUUUGACCUUUGGAUCAAGAAUUGUAUAGUUGGGAUGAUUGCGGUCCCCUCUAAGGUUGAGUAGUACUCCUAGGAUUGAGUGGUCCCCGCAGGGUAAUAGUAUUAAUCCAAAGGUUGAAAAUGAUUAAAGGGGCUGAUCUAAGAGCCAAAAAGUCGGAAACACCAGAUUCUCUAUACUUCUGAUAGCAUAGUAGCUCUACUAUAUAUAUAUAUAUAUAUAUGAACUAGGCUACUAUGCUAUUAAUAGCACCAAGUCAUUGGUGCUACCAAGUUUUUGGCCAUUGGAUUAAGAGAUGUGCGGUUAGGAUGAUGUGGGCCCCCUAGGGUUGAGUGGGCUGUUGGUUGAAUAGUAUGAUCUAACGAGUGAAAAUGAUCAAAAGGGUAGAUCUAGUGGCGGAAAACUUGGUAGCACAAAGUGCUUCGUGCUGUUAAUAGUAUAGUAGCCGGACUAUAUAUAUAUAUUAUAUAUAUAUAUAUAUAUAUAUAUAUAGAACUAGGCUGGAAUACUAUCAAUAGCACCAAGCUAUUUGUGCUAUUGAUUUUUUAGCCAUUGGAUUGAGAAAUGGGUGGUUAGGAUGAUAUGGGCCCUCUAGGGUUGAGUGAGUGGUUGGUUGAAUAGUACAAUCUAACGAGUAAAAGUAAUCAUAGGGUUAAAUAUAACGGUGGAAAACUCGAUAGCACCAAAUCCUUGGUGCUAUCGAUAGUACCCCAGCCGGACUAUAUA
rnacentral:lncRNA from 1 species